rfam:Tupaia chinensis contig33260, whole genome shotgun sequence.
UUAAAGGUCCUCUUGAGGACCAUUUCUUACACAUAAUUAAAUUUUU